CUGGCUCGCGGGUGCAGGAAAUAAGAAGAGAUGCCUCCUCACUGGCUCACGGGUACAGGAAAUAAGAAGAGAUGCCUCCUCACUGGCUCGCGGGUGCAGGAAAUAAGAAGAGAUGCCUCCUCACUGACUCGCGGGUGCAGGAAAUAAGAAGAGAUGCCUCCUCACUGGCUUAUGGGUGCAGGAAAUAAGAAGAGAUGCCUCCUCACUGGCUCACAGGUACAGGAAAUAAGAAGAGAUGCCUCCUCACUGGCUCACAGGUACAGGAAAUAAGAAGAGAUGCCUCCUCACUGGCUCACAGGUGCAGGAAAUAAGAAGAGAUGCCUCCUCACUGGCUCACAGGUGCAGGAAAUAAGAAGAGAUGCCUCACUGGCUCACAGGUGCAGGAAAUAAGAAGAGAUGCCUCCUCACUGGCUCACAGGUGCAGGAAAUAAGAAGAGAUGCCUCCUCACUGGCUCACAGGUGCAGGAAAUAAGAAGAGAUGCCUCCUCACUGGCUCACAGGUGCAGGAAAUAAGAAGAGAUGCCUCACUGGCUCACAGGUGCAGGAAAUAAGAAGAGAUGCCUCCUCACUGGCUCACAGGUGCAGGAAAUAAGAAGAGAUGCCUCCUCACUGGCUCACAGGUGCAGGAAAUAAGAAGAGAUGCC